AGAGUUUGAUCAUGGCUCAGAACGUACGCUGGCGGCACGCCUUAUACAUGCAAGUCGAACGAAGUAGCAAUACUUAGUGGCAGACGGGUGAGUAACAUGUAGGUAUCUUCCCUUUGGUGAGGAAUAACACGAGGAAACUUGUGCUAAUACCUCAUAAGUCUUUACGGAGAAAGCUUUAUGCGCCAUAGGAUGAGCCUGCACUUGAUUAGUUUGUUGGUGGGGUAAUGGCUUACCAAGACUUUGAUCAAUAGCUGAUCUGAGAGGAUGAUCAGCCACAUUGGGACUGAGACACGGCCCAAACUCCUACGGGAGGCAGCAGUAGGGAAUAUUGCACAAUGGAGGAAACUCUGAUGCAGCGAUGCCGCGUGAGUGAAGAAGGCCUUUGGGUUGUAAAGCUCUUUCGUCGGGGAAGAAAAUGACUGUACCCGAAUAAGAAGGUCCGGCUAACUUCGUGCCAGCAGCCGCGGUAAUACGAAGGGACCUAGCGUAGUUCGGAAUUACUGGGCUUAAAGAGUUCGUAGGUGGUUGAAAAAGUUGGUGGUGAAAUCCCAGAGCUUAACUCUGGAACUGCCAUCAAAACUUUUCAGCUAGAGUUUGAUAGAGGAAAGCAGAAUUUCUAGUGUAGAGGUGAAAUUCGUAGAUAUUAGAAAGAAUACCAAUUGCGAAGGCAGCUUUCUGGAUCAUUACUGACGCUGAGGAACGAAAGCAUGGGUAGCGAAGAGGAUUAGAUACCCUCGUAGUCCAUGCCGUAAACGAUGUGUGUUAGACGUUGGAAAUUUAUUUUCAGUGUCGCAGCGAAAGCAAUAAACACACCGCCUGGGGAGUACGACCGCAAGGUUAAAACUCAAAUGAAUUGACGGGGACCCGCACAAGUAGUGGAGCAUGUGGUUUAAUUCGAAGAUACGCGCAGAACCUUACCAACGCUUGACAUGUUCGUCGCGAAACUAAGAGAUUAGUUUCUUCAGUUCGGCUGGACGAAACACAGGUGCUGCAUGGCUGUCGUCAGCUCGUGUCGUGAGAUGUUCCGUUAAGUCGGAUAACGAGCGCAACCCUUACCUUCAAUUGCCAGCACAUUAUGGUGGGAACUUUGAAGGAACUGCCGGUGAUAAGCCGGAGGAAGGUGGGGAUGACGUCAAGUCCUCAUGGCCCUUACGGGCCGGGCUACACACGUGAUACAAUGGUAACUACAAAGGGCAGCGAAGGAGCGAUCUGGAGCAAAUCUCAAAAAGUUACCUCAGUUCGGAUUGCACUCUGCAACUCGAGUGCAUGAAGUUGGAAUCGCUAGUAAUCGUAGAUCAGCGCGCCGCGGUGAAUACGUUCCCGGGUCUUGUACACACCGCCCGUCACACCAUGGGAGUUGGUUCUACCUUAAGGCAAGGUUUUAAACCCUUGACCACGGUAUAGUCAGCGACUGGGGUGAAGUCAUAACAAGGUAGCCGUA
rnacentral:rRNA from 1 species